rnacentral:rRNA from 1 species
GAUGAACGCUGGCGGCGUGCCUAAUACAUGCAAGUCGAGCGAACGGACGAGAAGCUUGCUUCUCUGGUGUUAGCGGCGGACGGGUGAGUAACACGUGGAUAACCUACCUAUAAGACUGGGAUAACUUCGGGAAACCGGAGCUAAUACCGGAUAAUAUUUUGAACCGCAUGGUUCAAAAGUAAAAGACGGUCUUGCUGUCACUUAUAGAUGGAUCCGCGCUGCAUUAGCUAGUUGGUAAGGUAACGGCUUACCAAGGCAACGAUGCAUAGCCGACCUGAGAGGGUGAUCGGCCACACUGGAACUGAGACACGGUCCAGACUCCUACGGGAGGCAGCAGUAGGGAAUCUUCCGCAAUGGGCGAAAGCCUGACGGAGCAACGCCGCGUGAGUGAUGAAGGUCUUCGGAUCGUAAAACUCUGUUAUUAGGGAAGAACAUAUGUGUAAGUAACUGUGCACAUCUUGACGGUACCUAAUCAGAAAGCCACGGCUAACUACGUG